rnacentral:rRNA from 1 species
CCUACGGGAGGCUGCAGUGGGGAAUAUUGGACAAUGGGCGAAAGCCUGAUCCAGCCAUGCCGCGUGUGUGAAGAAGGCCUUCGGGUUGUAAAGCACUUUCAGUGGGGAAGAAAGCCUUGGGGCUAAUACCCUCGAGGAAGGACAUCACCCACAGAAGAAGCACCGGCUAACUCCGUGCCAGCAGCCGCGGUAAUACGGAGGGUGCGAGCGUUAAUCGGAAUUACUGGGCGUAAAGCGCGCGUAGGCGGUCUGAUAAGCCGGUUGUGAAAGCCCCGGGCUCAACCUGGGAACGGCAUCCGGAACUGUCAGGCUAGAGUGCAGGAGAGGAAGGUAGAAUUCCCGGUGUAGCGGUGAAAUGCGUAGAGAUCGGGAGGAAUACCAGUGGUGAAGGCGGCCUUCUGGACUGACACUGACGCUGAGGUGCGAAAGCGUGGGUAGCAAACAGGAUUAGAUACCCGAGUAGUC